UGGCCAGACUCCUACGGGAGGCAGCAGUGGGGAAUAUUGCACAAUGGGGGGAACCCUGAUGCAGCGACGCCGCGUGAGUGAAGAAGUAUUUCGGUAUGUAAAGCUCUAUCAGCAGGGAAGAAAAUGACGGUACCUGAUUAAGAAGCCCCGACUAACUACGUGCCAGCAGCCGCGGUAAUACGUAGGGGGCAAGCGUUAUCCGGAUUUACUGGGUGUAAAGGGAGCGUAGACGGCAGCGCAAGUCUGAAGUGAAAUGCCGGGGCUUAACCCCGGAACUGCUUUGGAAACUGUGCAGCUAGAGUGCAGGAGAGGUAAGUGGAAUUCCUAGUGUAGCGGUGAAAUGCGUAGAUAUUAGGAGGAACACCAGUGGCGAAGGCGGCCUGCUGGACCGCGACUGACGUUGAGGCUCGAAAGCGUGGGGAGCGAACAGGAUUAGAUACCCUGGUAU
rnacentral:rRNA from 1 species